rnacentral:rRNA from 1 species
UACGUAGGGUGCGAGCGUUAAUCGGAAUUACUGGGCGUAAAGCGCGCGCAGGUGGUUUCUUAAGUCUGAUGUGAAAGCCCACGGCUCAACCGUGGAGGGUCAUUGGAAACUGGGGAACUUGAGUGCAGAAGAGGAAAGUGGAAUUCCAAGUGUAGCGGUGAAAUGCGUAGAGAUUUGGAGGAACACCAGUGGCGAAGGCGACUUUCUGGUCUGUAACUGACACUGAGGCGCGAAAGCGUGGGGAGCGAACAGG